AGUCGAACGGCAGCAUAGAGAGCUUGCUCUCUGAUGGCGAGUGGCGAACGGGUGAGUAAUAUAUCGGAACGUACCUAGUAAUGGGGAACAACUAGCCGAAAGGUUAGCUAAUACCGCAUACGACCUACGGGAGAAAGCAGGGGAUCUUCGGACCUUGCGUUAUUAGAGCGGCCGAUAUCUGAUUAGGUAGUUGGUGGGGUAAAAGCCUACCAAGCCAACGAUCAGUAGCUGGUCUGAGAGGACGAUCAGCCACACUGGAACUGAGACACGGUCCAGACUCCUACGGGAGGCAGCAGUGGGGAAUUUUGGACAAUGGGGGCAACCCUGAUCCAGCCAUUCCGCGUGAGUGAAGAAGGCCUUCGGGUUGUAAAGCUCUUUCACAAGAGAAGAAAUCUUACUAUCAAAUAAAUAGUAAGGAUGACGGUAUCUUGAGAAGAAGCACCGGCUAACUACGUGCCAGCAGCCGCGGUAAUACGUAGGGUGCGAGCGUUAAUCGGAAUUACUGGGCGUAAAGCGUGCGCAGGCGGUUUUAUAAGUCAGAUGUGAAAUCCCCGAGCUCAACUUGGGAACUGCGUUUGAAACUGUAAGACUAGAGUGUGUCAGAGGGGGGUAGAAUUCCAUGUGUAGCAGUGAAAUGCGUAGAUAUAUGGAGGAAUACCAAUGGCGAAGGCAGCCCCCUGGGAUAACACUGACGCUCAUGCACGAAAGCGUGGGGAGCAAACAGGAUUAGAUACCCUGGUAGUCCACGCCCUAAACGAUGUCUACUAGUUGUUGGUGGAGUAAAAUCCAUGAGUAACGCAGCUAACGCGUGAAGUAGACCGCCUGG
rnacentral:rRNA from 1 species